UUUCGGGGUCCCUGCACUUUCUUCAGGUCCGGAUCACAGCCACACAAAGAGGGAAACUGUGGGAAGAAGGCUGCAUCAUCGCACCAGCGACUCCAGCCACAGCCUCAAUGCUAUUGCAAAGCUGCAGAAGAAACUUUUGCCUCCGGGUUUAAGUAGUGCAAGCAAUCUGCUCUGAGGAGGACAGAGGCAGGAUGCUGAAGACUGUUGGAACAGAUAGCGUCUCUAGACACAGUGUAAAAGCUAUCAGAGGACCCCAAAAGAUGACAGUGAGACGGUUGGGGGCAAGAGCAACACCUACCCAAGGAAGACAGGCUGAGGGAAUUUGCUUCAAGAUGAAAAGGCUUUGGGAGCCUUCACACCAGAACUAAAAACAAAAAACAAAACACAACAAAAAAACUUUUCACCCUUGUGGACAGGCAAGCAGAGUAGCAGGUUUCCCGGGAAGGUUGUGCAGUCUCUGAAACUGGAGUUUUUAGGAUAUGGCCAGAUAAACCCUGAGCAGUCUGCUCUGACUCCACCGUCUGACCAUGCUUCAAGCAAGACCUUGGGGGACCUCCCAAGGUUCCAUUCAAACUGAAAUAUUCUCUGGUCCUAUGAUGUGUUUAGCUGGCCAGAAACCCAGUAUAUGCAAGGGGGUAAGGA